GUCGGGAUAGCUCAGCAGGUAGA
rnacentral:tRNA from 1 species